rnacentral:sRNA from 1 species
UAGUUGGGGCGGAACGUCUUGUAGUUA